AUUAGUGAAAAAGAAAUAAUAAAAACCUAAAUAAAAAAAACUGACCGUCGUUGUUUAUCUUUUCAUUAGCGCAACUUUUGAUUUUCAAAGCCCAUCUUCAAUUUCACUCCCCUUCAACCUAAAACCCUCGAUUGAACUCGCCUCCAAUUGCGAUUCACCAAUUACAAUUCUCAAAUUAUACUGGCCUCCAGUACUUACAAUUCUUGAUGGGAUAUAGGGUUUGAUUUAUCCUCUUUGUUUAAUUGAUUGACAGAGUUGGGUUCUGAUUAAGCUUUCAAAUUCGAAUAUCGAAUUAAUUCCGUUGAUGAAAGUUUCAGGAUCGGCACUCUAAAGAGGGAAGUGUUUAUGAAGAACAGGCCAUGCCAACACCUGAGGCACUUGAAAAAAAGGGUGAGUAAUGGCCAUGCUACAAACACGGGUGGCCAAUAUGGAUAUGUGCCAGAUUCAGAUAAUUCAGAUGCUAUUAGUUCUCAGAGCCCUUUUAGAACUCCACCUUAAUUAUCAUAUCAACAUGACAAGGUUUCCAAUGCACCUACAGUUGAUAAGCUUAAUGAUCUUAAAGCAUUUAAAGAAGUGUUUCUACAACGCUUUUCAAGAGAUGGCACCCCAAGAGAGAACACUUCAACUAGUUAGACUAGUUAGAUUUUAUAUUGUUCUUUUAGAUUGCUUAUCUUUUAGUUUUAAUUAAGAAUAAAAUACGAGGGGAUGUGAUUUUUCGUUUCACGUAACUUGGAAUUCUUUUCUCAAACAUCUUUUUAGUAAUAAAAUUUUCAUUUGUUUA